UGAAACCAUUCUACCAGCAAAAUGGUUUCAGAUUACAACUCUCUGAAACCAUUGUACCAGAUAAAUGGUUUCAGAAGCAAACACAAUUAAUAAAUUACUUAUUGAAACCAUUCUACCAGUAAAAUGGUUUCAGAAUAUAACUAUGUGCAACCAUUCUACCAGUAAAAUGGUUUCAGAAGCAAACAUUAGUUUUUAAUUACCGUUUUAUCUCAUUUAAUUACUUAAAAAUAGUUUCAAGUCUCCAAAAAUUUCAUAAAAUAUACCAAAACUUCCAGAAUAUUAUCUACUAUUUUCCUGGUAUAAUGGUUUCAGUGAGUUGGUUGAGUGGUGCGUGUUAAAUUACAACACACAAGUAACGUAUUUAGUAGACAAAAAAUGAGAUUAAGGUAGUGAAAAAUUGCGUUUUUUUUCGGUGUCCAAUUCAAACGAACCAAGUCUCUAUUUGUAGACAAAAAAAAAUUAUGAAUUUUGGUAAAAAAUAAAAAAAUAAAAAAUUAAUUUACAACGAAAUAAUUGAGUUCAAAGUAUUAAAUGAACAAAAAUCACGCCCAGCCAACCAUUGUGUGACACGUGUCCUACUUUUAAAAAGCAAAUUUUUCUCUCUNNNNCGCGACACUGGAUCUGCGUCUACUAAUGGGUAUUUUGGUUAAUUAAUUAAAAAGAAUGAGUAUUUUGGUCCAAUUGAAAAGGUGCACCUUGCUAACUUAGACCUAACUAGGGUCUAAGUUAGAAAACCCCUUUAUAUAUAUACCGUCAAUGUAAAAUUAUUUUGCAUAUGCAUCUAAUGAUGCUAACACAUCAUGUAUUAUAUUUAUAUACACAUGACGUGUAACAUUCAUUAAAUAAUAUAUCAACAUAAUAUUAGAUACAUAUGUAAAAUAAUUUUAUAUCGACCGUGCAUUGAAAUUAAACUUCAAAAUAAAACAUAAUAAAAAUGAGGAGUGUUCGUUUGAAAAGAAGGAGUGAUGUUUCCGUGCCGACAUCUAAACGCGUACGAGGGCUCCAUUUGAAGCGUGUGAAUCACGUAAUCUUGUGACGCGUGUUGAGUCGUGAUUCCGUAAGAAAAGUACCAUGUGAUACAUUACAUACACAAAUUUUCCUUUCAUGUAAUUUAUUUACGCCAAUUUGGAUUUUGCAUUAAAAUUCUAUCUAAUCUACUACUACCUUGCAAACCACAAAGGACAAAAUUUAAUUAGGCUACUAUUUCUAUUUCUAGACUAGACUAGAAGACAAGAUGCUUUUUCUAUUUCUAUAAUUUUCUUAAAUUUUUUGUGUUAAUGGAUUUGAUGAUCGAAUUCAGGAUCUCUAUCAUACUAUUCAAAUAAUUGUGGUUUAAUCUUAUGAUUUUCAAGAGAAAAUAAUUUUUUUUUUUGUUUACAAUGAGCUGAGAAUUAAACCCAGACUUAUAUCAUACUAUCCAAAUCCCUCACCACUAGAUCAAAUCUAAUGACUUAAGAUAAAAAGAUCUAGUAAUUCAUAGUUUUACUACAAGAUAACUAAAAUCUAACUAAAAAUUAUUUUUAUCAUAAUUUGAACUCGAGUUCUUUCGAAAUAUUCGUCUUAAAAAAAUCGCUUUUAGAUAGAUUUUUGUUGCAUAUAAUUUUCCGAAAUUUAUAAAUGUUUUAAGAGCACAAUAAUUUUGUAAUAUAUACUCGUGAAAAUCAAAUUGUAUAUAUUUUUUCAGCACUGCUAUUUACUAAGAAUUAUCUUUUAACGAAAAUCAAGAAUGGCAAGGUGUUUUAGUUUGAUUGGCUAUAAGUUGUGUAUUUGGCGGAAAAUAAGGAGGUUGUGGGGUUACAUUGCUGAGCCAAAUUCCAUACCAUGUUUGUCGUGUUUUUCAUUUCGUUACAAAAAGCAUUUCUGAUAUUUUUUUGAUAGAAAAAUCAAAUUGUAUAUGUUUUUUACUAGAAAAUUAAAUUAUAUAUUUUAUUUGUCCUAGCAAUUAAUUCACCAUCUAAAAUCUAAUAUCGGUUGAUUUUAUCAUAAAAAAAUAAAUAAAAAAAUGGGUUGAUUUUAGUGAUAGAUUACCCUAAUAACUUAAACAAGUCUCCAGGAUAUACGAUAUUUGACAAUUAUGAAUGGAGACAUUCCAUUUUGAGGAGGGCACAUGCAAGUGUCUCUAACAUGUAAGAGUGAUGAGAUAUAUGAAGUUUAUUUGACUGCUGAAAUGAAAAUAUAUAGAGACGUGAAAAAAGUUGGUCUGAUAAGUUUUAGCAUAGUAGAUUAGUACUACACGAUCCACCUAAUUAAUUUGCUACACGAUCUUCAUAUAUUGUGCUUAUCACGAUUAUUAUGCGGGACUUUACGAUCAUAAAGAGUAUAAUUCACUUGAAUUUAAAUCAUUUCAAGAAUUUUUCACGUCGAAACCUUGUUGCUAGAAGAUUAUGGUGCAACUCUCAUAUUGUCUUACAGGAAGUUCUUCAACUAUCGACACAUUGAACCACACACCUUGAAUUAAUGACAACCAAUGCAUGUGUGUUGUUCUGAAUCUGCUAGCAAUAACUCGUCCUUUUAUAUGGUAUGGCGAAAAUACCAUAAGGACACACUUUAUUUUUUCGAUAAGAUCACCAUCAUCUUCCAAAACAAGGGAGACGUUGCUAGCACUUGGCUCAAAGUUUUUUUUUCCCCAAAUACUACUCCACUUGGACAAUUUCGAUUUACAUACAAAGAUUUUUCACACUUCAGCGUCUUGUAUAAUUUUGAUUGUAACAGUACAUCUUGAUUUGUACUUUCCACAAGUCAAAGUUGAUUCUUCCAUCAAACUUCUCUAUGUCAAACUUUAUAGCACUUUAAUAAGGUAUAACAGCUAUAAUUACAAGACUAUAAACUGUGAACCAAAUAGGUUCACAUAAAAGAGAAGCGGGUCACAAUGGACACGCUUAAAACUAUUUUGCUUUAAUAUUAUCUUCAUAACCAUUUUUGCCUCUGCAAAAAAAAACAUAUUUUUGCCACUAAGUCUAGUCCAAUAUUAAAAGAUUUGAGUAGUAUGUAUGUAGGUCAAAUUUUAUUGGCUCUAAUAUAACAGAAGACAAACAUUUUUCCUUAUUAAAAAAAUAUUUAUAACCAUUUUAUCUAUUUAUAUAUUUUAUGAUUAAUCUUCUUAUAUUUUAUUUAUGCUGGUGUGAAAAUAAUUUACAACUUUCAUAAAAUUAACAAGAUAAAAAAGAAAUCCAAACAAAUUAUAAACUAUUUUGCUUUAACGUCAUAUUUCAACCAUUUUUUUUUUAAUUUACAAUGAAGCUGAAAAUCGAACGUACGAUCUCUAUAAUAUUACCUAAAUUUUUAACUACUAGACUAAACUUACCAGCUUUAUCUCAAUCAUUUUUUAUACUUUUACAAAUUUUCUAAAUCAAAUUUUUACCCCGUACUAGCAGCAACACUUUUUUAGACACAUAAAAUUGUUGCCUAAAAGUUGCCUCAGGCAAUGGUUUAUGGAUGUUGCCAACAAUGUUUUCGCAACCCCUUAUCAAGAGGACCAUUGAAAUUUAAACCCAAUUUGGUCACACACACAUAAUUGAGAAAAAUGUAGAAAGAGAAAAUAAUUAAAUAAUGUGUAUUUUAAAAUAAUUAAAUGAUAUGUGUUAUUAUGUGUGUGUGACCAAAUUGGAUCUAAAUUUUAAUGGUUCAUGCAGGUAUUUUCCCCCUUAUAAAUGUCCUCUAAAUUUAAACUACUACUUUUAGGGACAUUUUUAGAGCGUUACUCUAUUAUUUUUUUGGCAACAAAUUGUUAACCGUCCUCGGAGAUACUUCUGGGGACGUUUUUAAUGCAUCACCAUAUGUUUCUUUGGCAAUACUUGGUUGCACUGUUUUAUUUUUUUUCAUUGUUGCAUAAGAAUUUGAACAACACCAAAUUUUUGUUUCCUCCAAACUUUUUCACAAAAAAAACUUCCCUCCAAACAUUAUAAAUUUUAUUAUUAUUAUUAUUAUUAUUAUUAUUAUUAUUUUUUUUUUUAUAUCUAGAUGUCAAAUUAUAACUAAUUAUUUAACGUCCACAAAUUCUAACUCAACCGACAGAAAUGCGGAAAUUGCUAGUGUCGGACAUCAUGACUGGGGUUCGAAUUCCGAUCACUCCACUUUGUGUGUGUAAAUUUUCAAAAGUUUUGUCAUUUUCGUCUAUUAACAAAAAAAACUAAUGAUUUAAUGUGACACUUUUUUUGGUUACAAAAAACAUAACGCUUAAUUCAAAAAAAAAAAAUACAAAACUAAAAAUUCAUCCUCAAACCCAAAUCCCUUUUAUCAUAGUUUAGGCGACGGCGCGACGCUUAUAAAAAAGUGUGCCCAAAGAAGGAGAAAAAACGUCCUUAAACAGUAGGCAACACUCGCAUAGAAGACACUUGAAAAGUGUCCUCUAUUCUUUUAGGCAACACUUUUCAUGAUUCUGGCAACAAUUUUCACCUCUUGUCAGAGGCAAUAAAUGGUGUAGUGGCAUCUUAUCCUAGGAUCAUAUCUAUUGCUAAAUAGCGAUACAUCGUAUUGCAAUAUAAUUAUCAAAAAAAUUUCUCUCAUGGCCAUUAACAUCCAUUUAUUUUAGUAAUAAAAUUUUGGACCACCUAAAAACUGAGGCGUUAAUACAAAAUUAAUAUAUUUUGGCCCCAAAAAAUUACUAACAUUAAGCGCAUUAGAUCCGGUAGUAUAUGUACUAUAAUCUCCUAUUUUAAAAUCACUCGAUUUUAAUUUCUCAUUAUUUUAACUUAAAAAAUAGAUAUGUUAUAUAUUUUAUAUGAUAUGACAUAUAAUUUGAUGAUGCAACUCCAUUUAAGUUGAUUAUAGUUAUUUAAAUGUCUCAACAAAUAUUGAUUUUUUGUCCCAAAAUUGAUAUUUAAAAAAUCAAUUUUUUUUUGUAUGCCAUGUUCAAAUUUAAAAUUGGCCAAAAAAUUGUCAUUUUGAGGUUAAAAAGGAUAAUUUUUUGAGUAAUUUUUCUUUUUUGGAUAUGGGCAAUAAUUUUAAUGUGUCCCACUCAGUUAGAAAACUCAAAUUUUAGAGUUUAGUUUAGAGAUGUUAAUUAGAUCUAUGAAUAGAGAUUCCCGUGGAAAUUUUCCCGUUUGAAGACCGAAAGACGAAGAAUGUUUCUCUGGACAGAUGGGGAAGGAGAAAAAAAUCCAUCCAAAGGAGAUGUAGAGACGAGGAUGAAAUUUUAUCCCCGUCAUGCAUGCGGAGACUCUGUUCCUGAACACUUUAUUAAAUAAUCUUUGUAUGUGUAUAUUUAACUAUGUUUCUGUAAAAAAAAAAGUAUUUUAUAUGUUAUAUCUUUUUUUAUAUAUAUAGAUAUGUAAUAUCUAUUUAUAUUUUCACACAAUGUGUGCAUAAAUUUAUUUUUAUUGAUGUUUAUUGUUGUCACAACUCACAAGACUAAAUAAUGUUUUUAUUUUAUAUUUGUUUUAUGAUUAAACUUCUUUUACAAUUAGUUUGAUUGAAAAUAAUAGAAAUUUGAUAAUUUUUUUUAAUGUUGAUGGAUCCCCGCGAGAACCGUGGUAGAAUUAAUACAACUAGUUUGACUAAGUAAUUUUUUUUAUAGAGGAAGAAUCAAUACUCUUCGAAGCGGAUAAUGAUGACGGGAAUCAUGAUCAUUUUAAAUGGUGGAAAAUUGUGUGUAAAGUAUUUCCCGCUUAUUCUGUGUCCCGUUGACAUUCCCAGUUUAGUUCGGUACUGAUAUUUUAUAAACAAAAUUCAUUCAAAAUUUAAAUUUAUUUUAAUAUAAAUUAAUGUAAAAUAUAAUAUUUGAGAUUAAAUUUUAUCAACUCUACAUCAUAGUCUUUUGAACCAUCAAUUUUAAUCUCUAUUUCGUUUGAGUAGCCACCAUUAUUUAUUUUUUGACAUUACCCACCAAACCACCACAAAUAUUAUUGCCACAAAUAACAUGUGCUGUUUAUAUAUCUUGUCCUUUAGUGAAAACUAUUAUACAUCCUAUCACGUCUCAUAUAUUUUAUCUUAGUAAAAUUAAUAUUAAAUAUAUUUUUGGUUGUAUUAAUAUGAUUGUUGGAGUCUGUGUGUUUAACUCAGUUGGUAGCUAGAGACAUCACAUAUUUUAUAGAGGAGUUGGAGUCCAAACUCGGACACUCUACUUAUUCACAUAGAAGAGAGGGAAUGAUUUGCGAGUGUCCUUCUCAUUAUUAUAUUUAUUAUUUUCUUAGUUUGAAAUUAAAAUAGCCGCUUAAUAUUUUACUUUGUUGCUUAUUAUUUGGUGAUUUAUGUAUAUCUUUAGGCCAUAGUUAUUAUGUGUGGCUUUAAAAUAUGGUUAGACUACACUGUUAUUGCGUGGUCAGAAACAAUAAACAGUUGCCUAAAGUAUAUAUAGGCCACGGUUAAAAUNNNNNNNNNNNNNNNNNNNNNNNNNNNNNNNNNNNNNNNNNNNNNNNNNNNNNNNNNNNNNNNNNNNNNNNNNNNNNNNNNNNNNNNNNNNNNNNNNNNNNNNNNNNNNNNNNNNNNNNNNNNNNNNNNNNNNNNNNNNNNNNNNNNNNNNNNNNNNNNNNNNNNUUAUUUGAGAUUUUAAUAUUUUUUUUCUUAUUUUUUAUGUCGAUUUAGAGUUUCUAAGACUUUCCUUUUGUGUUUGCUUCACGAUUCUCUCAUCUCUGGUUGCAUAUUUUCUGGAUCUAAACUAAAAAAUUUGGAUUUGUUCCCAAACAACCCGCUUAAACCGCAAACCCGAACCCGCGAAAACGGUUCUUCAUUUUUCGGGUGGAUUGAGCCUUAUUUUUGACUAUGUGGUUUAGACCGAAUGACAACUUUGGGCCAGAACCCGCCCAUAUCCACCCACAAUCCACCCCUGGUCAGAAGCAUCAACGGUUGACUUAAUGUGGAAGAGGAGGCCGUUGUUUUUAAUGUAUGCCAGAAAAUGGGAAAUGGAGGCUUUGGCUAACAUGAAAGGCUUCACCAAGUCUUCUAUGAUGCACAAAUUCUCAAUAUUAUUAUAAUGAAUACAAAUUUUACAAAAUCGACCGUUAGAUUGAAAGAUUAUAUCGUUUAGAUCAUCCAUAAUUUUUUUAAAAAAAGAAAUCGGAAAUCAUAUGAUAUGUUAUUGAGACUAAUCACGAUAGGACAUUUUAAACAAAUGCAGUCAAUAAAUACAGUUUUUAAAUCAUAGUCGCAUGAUCUUGAUUGCACGACUACAAAUAGCGUGACUGCACGACUGCACCAAAAAAGCGACAUCACGGAAUCCGGGUCCCAGAAAAGCGACUGCAUAUCUCCGUCGGGAAAUAUGUGGGAUACACAAGGUUGAUUCUCUCCUCCCAACCAAUUUUUUUUUAUAUGCAUGAGCUAGGAAUCGAACCCCUUAUCACAUGCUUAAGGAAAUCAAAACACUUACCACUUAGAUCACUUCAUUGUUGGUUGGUCCUGUGAUUUCUAAUUUUAUAAUUUUGGUCCUCUUAUUUUUAAAUUUAUGUAAUUAGACCCAUUUAAAUAAUUAAAAGACAGGGGUGGAAUGGAUAGCUCAACUGGUUAAGCUAGUUGAGCAAAGGGUUAAGGAGCAGGAUGUCCAGGGUUCAAAAUGAUUUUGACAAAAAUAAAACGAUACUCAUCCAUUCAAAUUGAUAGAAUACAUUAAAUACAACCACAUAUUGAACAUCGAUAAAAAUAUAAAAGCUAAAUUUGCGAACAUAUUCAGAACAUCCAAGUUAAUAGCAUACAACGACAAAAUGCCUACUACAAAUAAUAUGAUAAAAUUAAGGUGACCAGAAUAUCUAUGUCUUUGGAUCUACAACGUUGAUGUCCAUAUCAUUGAUUAAAUUUAUAAUUAAUUGAAACAACCUCUUAAUAAUAAUCAAACAAACACCACAACAAUAUAAGAAAUCAAAUAGUGUCGCACGAGACGACGAACAACACAACGUCGCACUCAUACGAUGAAAUCAUAAAAAAAAACACAAAAACAAAAAACUUAAUCUAUAUGAAAACCACUUAUUUAUAAAUAAAAGAAGGAAAUAAAAGAUGUAAAUGGAUGAUUCUAAACUAAAAUAACUAAAAAUCACCCGAAUCCCAUGAACAAAGGAGACAAAGGAGAAAUGAACUUUGAAAGAUAGGGAGAAUUUUUUCCCCAAAAGAGCUAGGGCCGGCUUCUAAUUGAUAUUUACUCUAUUCAUUUCAAUUUAUGCCAAAUUUUUUAUUUUAUUUUAUAUUAUAAGAAAUAAUAACUAAUCUUUAUUAUUUUUAAGGUUUAUUUUUAUUUAUGUUCAUAAAAUUUAAUGUAAAUUAUAUUUAAUUUAUUUUUUCUCUUCUUUUUUCAAUAAUUAAUAACCAAUAUUUUUUUUUACAUAUUCCUAUCAACAUUUUUUAAAAGGAAACAUUAAAAGUCAUAUUUCAAAUUAUUAUAUUUUACUUUUUUUAAUAAGUAUGAAUUUGUUAUUGUUUAUAAUAUAGAAUGGAGAGUGUAUUAUAUAAUCCAUAGUAGCAUGGUUAAUUCUAAUGUGAUCCGUGGACGCUAAAAAUA
rnacentral:lncRNA from 1 species